UUAGAUUUCGCAGUCGCAUAGCUCAUUCACUCACAUCCACACACACCAUUUAUGUGGGUUUGAAGAGUUUAACGUAACCGAAUUGAAAAUUCAAUUCAUUCAGUUUCAUCUUGUCAGUCGUGUGGUGUGGUGGUUUUCAGAGGGGAAAAAAAUUGGCAUUAGUUUGGUUAACCGAAACCAAUAUUAGUUUUAUUGCAGAAAUUUGUAAUUACAGAAAUAUUUUGCAAUGCAAAAAUUUUAGUGCAUAGCUAAGACGAAGCAUUUUAUUGAACUUUUGUUCACGUGAGACAAUAGAGAAUAAAGUUGAUGUUCAUUGUUCUGUUUAACGUCUACGUGCUACAUAUUACAUAUCCUAAUAAGUAAUAACACGAAUCUUGACGUUUACUUAAAUUAUUCCGUAUUAUUGCACACACAGAACGCGUAGUUGGAUGGAUGGAAGCAAGAAGCAGGAUGUUUAAUAAAUAGCGAGCAACCCAAUCAACCCAUUGACGCAUGUUCCAGCUAAUUUAACUUGGGUAUACCAUACCAAAACUGAUUGCACUAGUUGCAUAAAUUAUUACGCUGUAUGAACUCUGCAUACACAGCAAAUUGUGGAAGUGAUCAAAUAUCAAAUCUGAAAACUUUGUGAAUGGACGGACAGUGGGCAAUACAUUUCGUAGAAAUAAAAUAUUUACUGUGCUGUGAGUGCAUUGGAAAAUUGAGAGUGAAGAAUCUGAAAACUGUAGAAUUUAUUUCUGAGAAUCUGGUAACUGUUCAAAAAUGGGAGCAGCAUUUUCGGGAGGAUCGUUGUGCCGGAUGGUGGGAGGUGUGGAAAUUGUGGUGUCGUCUGUAAUCAUCGGAUUCGGAUCUCAAGCACUCAUCCUCUUUUAUGACAUGGACGACGAAUUUAAAGAAAAAUUUGACAGAAUCCAAUAUUCAGCAAUCACUGCCAUGAUUCAAGGAAGUCUAACAAUACUCGCAUCUUUAAUGAUCUUAUUUGCAUCUCGACAAAAGCCAGGUCAACCCUACUUGGACGAUGACGCCUCAGAAAAUGGCGACGUGGACCACGAAGCGGCAGAUUCUCUGAGAAAACCCAGCAUCAAAAGUGCCGCAUCUCUUCCCCACAAUCAAUCCUAUUUAGCAACAAUUCAAAAAAUAAAACGGAAGCUUGCCCUCAUUUACAGACUGUGGCUCUCCUACAGCAUCAUUUCCAUCGGACUUUUGCUCGUUGUCUUCCUCUGCUCGAUGAAUUAUUGCGUUCAGACCAAAGUUGAUAAGCAACGGUAUGACGACAAGACGGACGAGGGGAGAAAUCCGUUUAAUUUGUUGGACGGGAAGAAAAUUAUGAUCCCUCCGUGUUACGCAGAACUGCCAAAAACCAUAGCAUUACGGAACGCCUUGACGAAUGUGUACAGCUAUUGCUUGGUGAACAUCUUCGUCCUGGUGGUCUUCAUGUUUGUCGUGUACUACCAGUUGAAACGGGUCACAAGGAUAACACAUCAGCCAAUUAAGGAGGAUAAGAUCAAGGUGCUUCCACCCCCGGAUAAGGAAGAUAUCGAGGAACAUGGGGUUGAGAAGGGGCAAUAAUGGUGCUGAUAUUAGUAUUAUAAAACUGAUUGGGUGGGACAUGUCUACUUAUAUUUACAUAAAUCCUGGAAAAUUGGAAUGUCAUCUACAAAAUCUAUGUAACUUAAUACUUAAUAUUAUAGACUUGGAGAUGAAUUCAUACCACUUUUCAUCCAAUUUGUUAUCCAUUUUUCUAUUUAUUUUAGGUGAACGAAUUUGUGUUGAAUGUGGGGAACAAGUGUUAGUAUGCAGAUAUUUUUGAGAUUCAAAAUGUAUAUGGAUGGGCUGACAGUGUUUUUUACUAAUAAGCAUAUCAUACUUAUUCGUGGAAGGGAUUUCUUUGACAGUGGAAAACAAGUAUUUAACAUGAAGCUGACCAGACUUGCAUUUCUUGGCGUUAUUGGGCUGAUUUGUGUCAUCGUAUCGUCUUCCGCGCUUCCAGCGUCCACAAAAAUCUAUCACCUUCAGAAAAGGGCUUCGAUCGCGACUGCAGGGACGCAGUCUGUAGGAUCCGGCAUCGGUGAAACGAACUGCCCGAUCGGUUACACCUACUCGACGUAUCAGAAACAAUGUGUCCGAAGUAGUGGAAACGUGGGAGGAGUUGGCAAAUAAAUAUUUAAAGUUUGAACAA